CCCCAAUCCUCAAGGGUUAUGCAGGGCCUUACUAACCGAACUAAGGAGUUGAGACUAUAGGCAGCAGAGAACCACUGGAAAGCUUUCUGUUUUUCUCCCUCAUAGACCCUUCCAUGUCUGCCUUCAUUUAUCUCUUAGACUGAAGUAACAAGGAUAAAGGUCACCAAUGUUUCACAGAAGAUGGCUUUGAAAUGUUAAAAACUCCCUUGGUCCAGUCCCCUAACUGACUUAUGAAUGGAGAAACACAGGAGAAGAAUGAGUAGAGGAGAGUAAGGACACAUGGGAAGUGGAAAUGAACGAGCAGGAGACUUGGAG
rnacentral:lncRNA from 1 species